AAAUUUUGUUCGUUGUUUUGUAAGUCGUUGUCUAUAGUUUCUAUUUUGUCUCUGAGUUUUGUCAAUUCCAAACGAUGUUGUGAGAUGUUUACUAAUGUGUCCUGGUUAUGUCCUACUUUUCCGUCUCGUGGAAUUGUUAUAUUUAUAUUUGGUAGGAAAGUUUCUAAGGUAUUUUCGUACGAUUUUCCUGCCGUUUGUAAUGUUGUGUCCGUUGUUGUCAGUUUACAGUUUUCGUUUAUUGUAAUCUCGCCUGUGUUUUUUAUUACUUUAUUUUCUGAUCGUCCGUCGCAUCGUAUAGUUAUUGUUUGUUCAGCGGAGGUCGAGUAUAACCAAGUGUCUUCUUGGUGUAAGGUUAUCCAUAUCGUGCGGGACGAGGUAUAUUGUCUAACAUUACAUUUAUCCUGAUAACGUUGUCACAGUGUAUACAUUUGAAUUUCGCAUGGUGCGUCUACAUCUAUGCGAUAUAUGGGUGUAUUUUGUUUGCAUACAUAUUGUGUAUUUAUUUUACUACAUUGCUCUAACUUCUUUUCUGUUAAUACGGCGUACGUUAAUUUUUUCUUAUCUACUACAAUAAUUGGGUUGUUUAUUUUAAUAUAAUUGUAUACAUUCUUUAUGUAUGGCGUAGGAAAUUCUAUCGCUUUUAUAAUGUCAUAUGUCGGUUGUACAAUUAAAGGAAAACGCAAAAUUGUAUAUACUGUAUCUGAUUCGUGGUACGCUGUUAUCGCAAUGUUUUUUCUAUUGCUAACCAGUCGUUUGUACGAAUUUUAAAGGGGAAAUACAAUCCUUCGGGAAGCUGUGCUGCCGCAUCUUUUAAAUUAUUUAUAAUCUCGUCUAUUGGUAUUAAUCUGGGGUGCAUUUUGCCUUUUCGUAUAUAUGUUAAGUAUUCUAAUACGUUUUUUGUAUCCUUUAUUAGUUCGUUUACAAUUGCCUCUAUUGCCCUGAAAUGUUCGUUUAUUUUUUCUAAGGUGAAAGUUUCGGUCAUAGUCUGUUUUAGCAGUCUCUCAUUAUGGUCGAUUAUGUUUUCUAGUCUAUCUAAAUGUGCUACUGUAGCGUUUAUUACUUUUAGUUGGUUUCGAAUCGCGUGUUCGGAUACUCGUUGCUUAUUUGCUAUUAAUUCUAGCUGUUCGUUUAUUUGUUUUUCAUCGUCUGUGUCCAUGGUUCCAAAUAAUGUUUUGUUAUUGAUCCUAUACCGUCUAUUAGUCCUCGUCGUUUGUUUGUAGGUUCUUUGUAUAGGGUAUCAAUUUGAUUUUUUAUGUUGUUUAGGUAUUUUAAUUUCUGUUUUAUAAUAUUAAUCGAGUUUACGCAUGAACUUUCUGUUUCGUCGCACAUCGUUUCUAGCUGUCUGGGCCCGGUUGUGGGGCCGGCAUUGCCGACCAACCGUUUUAAUCGGGCUCUUGGGGCUGUCGCACGAUAUGCGGCUAGCUCCUUUCCGUUCUCUUUACACGUAAGUGUAAAUGUGCGGUCUGGUGUGCGCGUUGUGCGCGAAGUUGCUUUGGUGUCUCCCGAAGAAGGGUUCAUGAUUCCGGCCAUACAAACACUGAGGGCUCUGCAAGAGAGACGGCCUCUUCCUUAUGGGCGUGUAUGUCGCGAGGACGAAGCAGACAAUUAGAGAAAACGUAAUCGAGAUCAAAGUGCGGAAUAAGCGGCGGUCGUCAACGAGAUUUUUGCGGAUUAACUAAUAUGCGGUUUGAGUUAUGCGGUCACUGCAAAAAGCGAUAAAACCCAAAUUUCGGGUGCGAGCUUUCUUUUAUGGUUUCCCGAAGAAAACCCACCCUCUCGGGAAGCGCCAAUUAUUGUGAGCAAUUUAAAUUGUGUUCGAGGUGACUCGAGGACACAGCUCAUAAUUGGCCGCUUCGCUAAGAUGCGCAAAGGACUCGCGUUUUGCCAUGCGCGCGCGGCCGCUCGCUAUUUCUAAUUGGUGAUUGAGGCCGCGUAACAAUUUUGCGCAUGCUUUUAGCGCGAUAAGUAUUUGGCGAAAACGGUUGCGAUACCGCUAAUUGUUUAUAUGCAAAGAAUGUUUUGUGAUGACAGGUUUUAAUUUAUGACAUCUUUUUACCUUGACAAACAUACAAAAAAGAACGUGACUUUUAUUAUUGACGCUGAUCGAUGAUUCUAGAAUUUACUAAAAAUUUACUUUGCAUCUCAAACAGUUAGUGUGAAAGGUACUUACCUUGCGCUGGAUGAACUUUUAUAGCGUCAAUCUGCAGCACGUUCACCUGCCGUCACCCCCUUAGAAGACCUCGGUCGGGAUGCGCGUAGCGAAAUCAAAAGUACACAGAUUUUAAUGCUUUAAAGUUUUUUAUUGUAACUCUCUUUACUUUACAAACUAUGCGCGAUCAAGAAUUAAUGAAGGAAGUCAACGUCGUCGACGGCGAACGCGUGACAAAGUUUCGUACAGAAAUUUAGAGUGACACAAUGAGAUGCAGUAUCUAGUGUACCAUAAUAUGCUGUGUAUAAUUAUACCACACAGAUGCCAGGACCGCAGAGCUUAUAUACCCACCGAAAUCGGGAAAAGUCCUUGUGCUUUGCGUUCUUUGGUAGGGGUUCCUUCAUAAACUAUAUCCCGAGAUCAUUGAUGCAAGUAAUGUGUGUAAAAAAAAGGAGGAGCGUCAAUGGAAUGUCUAGAAAAGCAAGAGUUCCAAAUAGAGGCAGAAUUUAUGACAUACAUAUGAGCUUCGGCGCGUAAGGUAUGAGGCGAUGCGGUAUGGAGGGAGGGUGCAUAACGAUUCGGCCACGAUACAGAUUCCAAGAAGCGUCGAACAGUAGCGAAGGUUUUCGGCCAACAAAGAGCUGAGAAUUAGGUCGCCUUAAAACUAACGGAUAUAAAUUUAAUCAACAUGAUUAUUUUAACGAGCGUAUUUCAAAGAGUUUGCGCAUAGAUAUGCUUAUUUCUUACAAACGUAGAAUCGUACAAUUCAUAUAAUUUAUUUUGUAGUACACGUGCAGGCAAAGUGGCACUUUGUGUGCGUGUUUUCUGUACGCCAAGCGGCCUAUGGCACCUCUCUACUAACUUUAUACCGCGCACAUGCGUACUAAUAAAAAAUGAUUCCUAUCUAGAUAUUAAGUAAUCUAAGUUCUUUUUCACUUAAGUCAAUCUCUCUUUUGUCUACCUUUGAUACUGUGAUAACUGUCUGUGACCAAAAAGUAAUAAAAUAUUUUUAUAUAUUUAAAAAGAUACAAAAAAUAUACUUACCACAUACUUACCGAUCCGAGACACCUCAGCAAUAGUUUCCAACAGAUAUUAUAUACUUACCUGCAUCCAAGACGCCUGAGCAGUAAUCUCCUUCCCACUAAAAAUAUACAUACAUCCGAGCGCCACAUUGGUGACUCCGACGUGAUCCCGCGUAAAAAAGGAUGCCUGUAGACAGAUCGCCUACACGAGAAACAGACGCCUCGGGCGCUGGCACAACUCAAAUCGUGCCUGCAAAGAGUUCAAAUACACAGUCUACCUCAGGUACGCAGUCUACAUUAGAAGAGUCACUUAACGCACUCACAUUACAGGUCUUAAAAAUACAGAAACAACUAGAUCGCAACAAACGAUUCCGUCGCUCCCGUAGCAGAGGAAGAGGAAACCAACCUAGAGCAUUGACCUGCACCUACGCAUUCAAAUAAGCUUGAGUUCUGUUACUAUCAUAAUAGAUUUGGUGCCAGCGCAAGAAAGUGCCACAACCCUUGUACGUGGACUCAAGGAGCUAAGCCGCAGGAAAACUAAUAAAAUCUCUGAACAUAGGGACGACUACGGAGAUCAAUUAGACGUUAAAUUGCCUCACAGUCAUGGAUCAAUACUCAAGGAUGAAUUUCUUGGUGGACACCAGUGCAGACGUUUCAGUUCUUCCAAAACGCAUGAAAGGCAAACAACCUACUCAUGCUAGGUUCACAAUUUACGUAGCUAACGGCACUAUCAUCCUCACUUACGGAGAGCUUAAAAUGAAACUCAACCUUGCACUACAGAGUUUUUGUUUGGCGAUUCAUUGUAGCUGACAUUCAAUAACCGAUAUUGGGUGCCGACUUUAUAAAACAUUUUAAACUGCUUGUCGAUCUCCUCAACCGCCGACUAAUCGAUAUAGAGACAAAAUUGCACGUGCUAGAUACAAUCACAACAUGCAACACUCCAAGUUUAACAAAAAUCAGUUACGAUAACUGUUACAGGAAAAUUCUACUGGAAUUCGACGAAGUAACACGUCCAAUCAAAAGCCAGGAACCCACACACGGCGUGCAACAUCAUAUAAUCACCAACGGAUAUCCUGUAGCAGAGCGAGCUAGGCGACUUUCACCAACCCGUUAUAAAGCAGCCUGAAUCGAUUUCCAGAACCUUAUCCAGCAGGGUAUUUGCCAUGCUCUAGUCCAUGGGCCUCUCCACUGCAUAUGAUGAAGAAAUCCAAUGGAACAUGGAGACCAUGUGGCGAUUACCGUCAAUUAAACAAAGUCACGAUACCUGACAGAUAUCCCGUUCCUUAUUUACAUGAUUUUACGAACCGUUUACAUGGAUGCAAGAUCUUUACUACGCUUGACCUCAACAAAGCGUUCUACCAAAUUCCAGUAACUCCAGAGAACAGAUCCAAGACCGCCGUAAUCACUCCUUUCGAUUUGUUCCAGUUUAACAAGAUGACCUUUGGUCUCUGCAACGCUGCGCAGACGUUUCAACGCCUGAUGGAUACGGUCCUCCAAGGAGUGGAAUAUGCGUUCUUCGACAUUUUGAUCGCAUCUACAACACCAGAGCAACACGCAACACACGUGCGUCAAAUCCUGUCACGGCUACAACAACACGGCCUAUCAAUGUGGAAAAGUGUACCUUCGGAGCCAAGAAGGUCCAUUACGUGGAAUACACCAUUAGUCAGGAUGGUAUCGCCUCUCUCCAAGAGCGCAUAGCUGCAAUUAGGAACUAUCCAAUACCAAAUACCGUUAAGGAACUACGCAGAUUCCUUGGUUUCAUCAACUUUUACCGACGCCUACUUAAAGAAGCAGUACUUAAUUCAAGCACUCCUACACAAACUUACAACCGGAGCAACCAAGCGAGACAACCGAACAAUAGUCUGGACACCGGAGACGCGGGAAGCAUUCAAACAAUGCAAAAGACAGCUGAAAGAAGCUACUCUCCUGGCACACUCAAAAGAAGGAGCACCUCUGGUGUUGCAAACAGACGCCUCAGACACAGCCAUCGGUGCCGCACUGCAACAACUCCAAGGGGACGUGUACGUACCUUAAGUUUUUUCUCACAAAAACUAACCGAAACACAAAGAAAAUAUAGCACCUACGACCGUGAGCUCCUAGCGGUCUAUAAAGCCCUAAAAUAUUUCCGGCAUUUCGUAGAAGGUCGUGAAUGCACGGUAGCAACGGACCACAAGCCGUUAAUAUAUGCCUUCGACUAGAAGUCAGAUCGAGCAUCUCCUAGACAGCUGCGCCAACUGGAUUAUAUCUCACAAUGCACUAUUCACCUGGUUCACCUUCCAGGAACGCAAAACACAGUCGCAGACGCACUAUCUCGAAUCCAAGAGAUACACAUGCCUACAAUUAUCUCCACCGAGGAUAUUGCAAUCGAGUAACUAAAGGAUGAAGAGCUGCAAGAACUGGUAAAAUCAUCAACAACAAAUUUGCAGCUUCGUAAAUUACGCCUCGACGACUCAGAACAUACAAUAUUUUGUGACAUUUCCACCGAAGAGAUUCGCCCAUACAUAUCUCGCAUCCUACGUCGCAGAAUAUUCGACACGGUGCACCGCCUAUCGCAUUCAGGAGUCCGAGCUACCCGAGAUCUAAUCGCACGCGGAUUUGUCUGGCCGGGUCUAAAUAAGGACGCCGCAAAGUGGUCAAGACCUGUUUAGCAUGUCAACGUGCAAAGAUCCAGAGACAUCACAAAAACCUGCCAGAACACAUUCGAGUCCCGGACAGCAGAUUCCACCAGGUUCAUCUCGACAUCAUCGGUCCUCUGCCGCCGUCCCGCGGGUACCAGUACUGCCUAACUGCAAUAGAUAGAGAUAAUAAAACAACAUGAGCCUAUUACGAGUUAUGUGAAUUGAUGUCAAACAUAUAUAUUUUCAAACUUUACAUCAAAUCGUAUAAAUCUACUUUACAAUGAUACAAUGAGACGUUUCGACGCUUACUUGCGUCUCUUCAGUCAUAAUUAGUUAAAAUAUAGUGAAACGUUGGUUAAGCCAG